rnacentral:misc_RNA from 1 species
CGCCCUUUAAGUGAGAGAGGGAAUAAGGCUUUCUUUCCAUGUUUGCUUUUAUGGUGCACUGAUAAUGAUCUAUCCACCCAUUCAGUAAGCUGAAGAUCCAUUUUUGAUUCCCGAAAUGUCAGUGAAGAUGGGAUUGCUUUUCUUGAUGAUGUUCCUAACAACAUCGUGUGUCUUCGCUGAACAAACAUCAGCUUCUGAAAGCUCUGAAGAAUCUCAUUUCCCAAAUUCAGAAGAGACUAAUGAGUUCGACA